rnacentral:rRNA from 1 species
UACGUAGGUGGCAAGCGUUGUCCGGAUUUACUGGGUGUAAAGGGCGUGUAGGCGGGCUUUUAAGUUAGAUGUGAAAUACCGGGGCUCAACCCCGGGGCUGCAUUUAAAACUGAAGGUCUUGAGUGCCGGAGAGGAAAGCGGAAUUCCUAGUGUAGCGGUGAAAUGCGUAGAUAUUAGGAGGAACACCAGUGGCGAAGGCGGCUUUCUGGACUGAAACUGACACUGAGGCACGAAAGCGUGGGGAGCAA